GAAACAGAGAAACAUCGAGCCUAAAGGAAGGGAUGCGCGCGAUGGUAGGGGCUGAGGGAUGGUCAAAAGCAAAAGAGGGGAAACAUCCCACUAUUUUCCACUGUCCUCGGACGAUUUCGACUACCUUCGAUUGCUUUCGACUUAGAGAGGCUCGUCCCCUUACGGUCCCCAGAGGGAAGGAUGGCUAUUCGAAUCAACUCGAUCUUCGAGGAACAGAAUUUACGAAGGAAGUGGCUAUGCGAAUCUACAGGCACUGAAGAAGCGCGGGAGAAUUUAUUUUCUCAGAAGUGUAGCGUGGCCUCGGUACAGUCUCUGCCGUUACCGGUUGAAUAAUUUCAUCCUUCCGUCCCAAGAUAAACCUACGCUCCAGCAUGAAUGUGACCAACGUAUCACCAACAUCAAGUUAGAGCUUCAAUGACGAAAAUAUUUAUUUUUUUCAUUUAAUAUGUUUCUAUGAAAUUACUAUGGAAAUUUUUGUUGUAAAAUAAUAAAAGAAAAAUGAGAUAUAAUAAAA